UCGCACCAGGUGGUUUUGAUUCAGGGUCUCUGGGUGAGUCUCAGGGACAGAUGAAUCUAUUGCCGCUGGUUCAUGGCCCGCAUGUGGGGUGAGGGGCUGGGGGUGGGGGGUGGGGUAGUAAAUGAUCCCACCCAUAAAGAAGAUCUUUCCUUAUCUGCCCACCUUCUCCCAGCAGCUUGCCUUUGGGAAUCUCCCUCCACACACUCCAAGGCGUGUUCCCGCUGACCCCCCUUUGCUGCGAUGGCUCAAAUCCCAAGUCCUCCACUCACCAGCUCUAAGACACCGGAUGAGACAUUUAACCUCUUCUUGUCCUGAUUUCCUCCUCUGUAAAAUGGGGAGCACGCUGGGACCUGCUUCAGAGCGGUUACGAGUUUGAAAUGAGUUCAGAUACAGAAAACACUUGGAACAGUGUCUGCAUGCGCCAGGAAAGGAAUUCACAUAAAGUAGACACCUAAGGAAAUGAGCAUUGGAGUGACACUCAAAGAACCCCGAGACAAGGAGACGUGGAAAACAGAUGUGCAUUUGGAGGUGAAAGAAGCUGAAAAAUCGUUGCUGGCAGUGCUGUUCCUGGAAGGGAGACGAAGGCGGGAAGACACAUUUGGGUUACAGGAAGAGGCGGCCCCUCAUUCAGCAUCUUUAGUCUAUAAGGGCCCAGGGCUCUGCACUGAAAGCACUAAUUGGAUUUCAUUAAAGCAAAAUAGAUUUCCUAGCACUGGAAGAGCCAGUUCAUUAAUUUCACACAUGCUCUACUGGAGGAAGGCAUGGGGAAGGGCAGCCAGCCCCAGUCUCCCCAGGCUAAGAUCAGAGCUGGGAGCCCGCUGCAGUUUGGUGCAGAGCCUGGAUUCUGAGCACCUGCUCCAUGCCAGUGCCUGGGCUGGCCAUCGGGGGUGCAGUGAUGAACCAGAUACAACCGCCACCUCCGGUAACUCGGUCUUGGAGGAGGCAGCCACACAAGGCAGGGCGUGCACAGUGACAGGGUGCAGGACAAGGGUAAGCAACAUAGAAUGUCUGACCUGUGCUGCUGGGGGUCCUGGGGGUAGGGUGGAGGUAAAGAGCAGAGAAGGGAGAAGUUGGCUCAGCUGCCCUAAGGCUCAUGGGGCCAUGGUUUGCACGAAGGUUUUCAUGCCCAGAGUGGGCAACACCAAGGGAGGAGAGAAGCAGGGGUGCUGGGGUUCAUCUAAAAUUCUUCGAAAAUAUUCACUGAACACUCAUGGUGUGUCAGAUGUGUUCCAGGUACUGGACAUCCAGUGGAGCAGACCGACCUGGUGCUGGAGCUGAGAAGAGUGGUCUGGGCCGGAAUUUUAAAUUGGGGACAUUUGAACAUAUAAAAGGUGGUCAAUGUCCCGGUCCGGAUGACGUCACCAGGGGAGAGAGUAGGAGGAGCGGGGGCAUCUUAGUUCUUUCUUCCUCUCAGAGCAAGAAUUCCUUCCACACCUUCCACUGACAGGUGGCUCCCCAGCCCCUGCUUGCAUGCUCCAAUGACAGGGAGCUCACUACCAGCCAAGCCAGUCCUGCCUGCUUUUGGAAGUGCUGGCUGUUAGUUAAAUUCUUUUGUAUGCGGGCCAAAGUCUCCCUUCCCUUUUGAUUUUACUCCUUUGUUCUGAUUCCAUCUUCUGGAGACCCGGCCCGUCCAGUCGGUUCCCUCUUUGCCAUGAUCUGCUAGAACCCACAGAUGUGGUUCACCACACCUUCCUUCUUCUCCGAUAGUGGGGCCCUGGGUUUCUUCUGAAGGUACCGCACCGUCCCCUCUGCCGUCUCCCAUCCCAGGAAGCGACAAAGUCUUGUUUUAACUUCUGAACCAUGGCCUUAGAGACCAGAAGAAGAGGGGACACUUAAAACUAAGAGACUUCCCUUCUGUGUCUUUAUUAAACACACCCAGUUCCUUCUGCCACUCUUAGCUGCCUCAGUGGCUACCCCAGAUAUUUUUGUCUCCGGGUUGGGGUCUCCACGCUGGAGGU